rnacentral:lncRNA from 1 species
AUGUUGAAGCGAGGACGUGGUGGGUCCUCUGGUGUGAAAUUCCAGAUUUCCUUGGGUCUUCUGGUAGGAGUGUGAUCAGUUGUGCUGACAACACAGGAGCCAAAAACCUGUAUGUCAUCUCCGUGAAAGGGGAUCAAGGGAUGGCUGAACAGACUUCCCACUGCUGGUGUGGGUGACACGGUGAUGGCCACAGUCAAGAAAGGCAAACCAGAGCUCAGAAAAAAGGUACAUCCAGCAGUGGUUAUUCGACAACGAAAGUCAUACCGCAGAAAAGAUGGCGUGUUUCUUUAUUUUGAAGAUAAUGCAGGGGUCACAGUGAACAAUAAAGGCGAGAUGAAAGGUUCUGCCAUUACAGGACCAGUAGCAAAGGAGUGUGCAGACUUGUGGCCCUGGAUUGCGUCCAGUGCUGGCAGCAUUGCA